rnacentral:rRNA from 1 species
AUUGAACGCUGGCGGCAUGCCUUACACAUGCAAGUCGAACGGCAGCACGGGUGCUUGCACCUGGUGGCGAGUGGCGAACGGGUGAGUAAUACAUCGGAACGUACCUUAUCGUGGGGGAUAACGCAGCGAAAGCUGUGCUAAUACCGCAUACGCCCUGAGGGGGAAAGCGGGGGAUCGCAAGACCUCGCGCGAUUAGAGCGGCCGAUGCCUGAUUAGCUUGUUGGUGGGGUAAAAGCCCACCAAGGCGACGAUCAGUAGCUGGCCUGAGAGGACGAUCGGCCACACUGGGACUGAGACACGGCCCAGACUCCUACGGGAGGCAGCAGUGGGGAAUUUUGGACAAUGGGGGCAACCCUGAUCCAGCAAUGCCGCGUGAGUGAAGAAGGCCUUCGGGUUGUAAAGCUCUUUUGUCAGGGAAGAAACACCGGCUCUAACACAGUCCGGGAAUGACGGUACCUGAAGAAUAAGCACCGGCUAACUACGUGCCAGCAGCCGCGGUAA